UACGAGGGGGGCGAGCGUUGUCCGGAAUCACUGGGCGUAAAGGGCGCGUAGGCGGCGCGGGUAGUCAACGGUGAAAGCUUGGGGCUCAACCCCGAGUCGGCCGUCGAUACUCCCGUGCUUGAGCACUGUAGAGGCAGGUGGAAUUCCGGGUGUAGCGGUGGAAUGCGUAGAGAUCCGGAAGAACACCGGUGGCGAAGGCGGCCUGCUGGGCAGUAGCUGACGCUGAGGCGCGACAGCGUGGGGAGCAAACAGG
rnacentral:rRNA from 1 species